rnacentral:lncRNA from 1 species
UACAAACCACCCUGCCCUACAAUCAGAUGUGAUUUCCUUACAAAAUACUACACUUCAUAACAGAACGUUAGCCAUUCUUCAAGUUUUCAACAAAACUUCUUGCAACCAAGUGAUUCUAAUGAGAGUUAUUAAAACCUUAGCAACGUAAAAUCUUACGGUUCUAAAGGAGUACAGUGCAAUAUUUUUCAAGAAUAUCAUAAAGAUUUUUCUCUACCCCAGGUAUGUUAAGGCUAUCCCUUCUUUAUUUUUGGCAUGAUCCGUACGAUUCAAACGAAACGAGCAAAUGCACAACUUCCAUAAAUGACUCUAUUCAUAGAAGUAUUAGAAGUGACUAUAUUCUUGAAUUCCCAUGUAUCUUAUUAUUCUAUCAUUUGUUCAUGGGUCUCAGAAAAUACAUAAGUUGAUAAAGUUUAUUUCAUGAUAUUAAUCAAAGGCAUAGUGGUCUUAUAACACUCCGAAAGAUUUUAUUGACUUAUUUAUCAUGCAUUGCAUUCAUUUAUAUUGACCCAUGACCAGAUAGCGUUAUAUACAUGUAUAUGGGAUAUGGAAAAAAGUUACGGCGUUAUAUAUGCACCACCACCUUAUCAACUGGUAUACGUUGAUGAUUUGCCCAUAAUGGCCGAGAUGAUAUGAUGAGAUGCCCCCAGAGGCUUGAUGAUGUUAUGAACGCAUAUACCCAUGCAUGAUAUGACUUUUAUAUGUAUAUGCAUGACGUUUUAAAUAUUAAAAGAUUCAUAAAGUUGUUCAGACUUACAUGUCGAGUCUUUUACUCCAUGUUUUAUGUCUAUUAUUUACUGAUUUUCAUUCCUUACAUACUCGGUACAUUAUUUGUACUGACGUCCCUUUUGCCUGGGGACACUGCGUUUCAUGCCCGCAGGUCCCGAUAGACAGGUCGAGAGCCCUCCAAGUAAGCUAUCAGCUGAGCGGAAGAUGUUGGUGGGCUCCAUUUGUUUCGGAGUUACUUGUUUGGUUAGUAUGAUUUAAACGUAUUUUGUUUGGUAUGGCGGGACUCUAUCCCGACCUUUAUGAAAAUUAUGUAUUCUUAGAGGCUUGUAGACAGAUGUCAUGUACGUAAAAGAUUAUAUGGGCUUGUCGGCCUACGUUCAGUAUACGAGUGGUUAUUUUGGCCUUAUAGGCCCGUAUGUCUUAUGUAUAAGUUGGUAUCACAUGUUGUAUUCUACUUAUCUCACGGUAGCCUUCCGACUCAGUUAUCUAUGAUAGUAUGACAUGAAAAGAUACGUUAUGUAG